rnacentral:lncRNA from 1 species
GGGUUUUCAGAGCGGAGGUGGGGGCUCCCGGCAGGGGAAGUUAGAGCCGAGGGAGCGGCAGGAGCACGUGGGCUGAGUGGGGGUGGGAGGACGCAGACGGCGGAGUAACCGGUGGAAGUGUCAAAGAGGAAGGAGUGGAGGGCUGCUGAGGUGACAGGGUGUGGUCUGUGAGGGAGCGGGCGAACCCGGAGAGGAGAGCAGAGAGACCCACCAGGACUAGGAGGCAGCGGGGAGCGUGCCUGCGUCGCUCGGAGCGGUGACAGCAAGGAGCGCAGCGCGGGGGCCGGGCGGCAAGGGGAGUUUCCAGUCCUCGAUAAGUGGAGUCCCUGCUCUGAGCUGCGCCAGCGCCUUCCGCCUGGGCCCGCGGUGCCAGACACCUGCCGAGUCCGAAGCGGGAGUCCGGCUGAGCCUUCGGCCCCCAAGAGACACCGUAAGAACCACAGAGUGUUAAACUUGGGGCUUGGAAAUCAGAGUCUGUCCCUGAAUUUCACAAAGGAAACGACUGACAUCAAAAGAAGGCAAGGGGCUGUUCAUCUCAGUCUCCUGGACCAUUCGUAUCAAUCAGGAAGUUUGAUGGUCCAGUCUUUCAGCAGGUGA